rnacentral:rRNA from 1 species
GGCUGCACGGGUGAGUAACGCGUAAGUAAUCUACCCUGGCAUUUGGGAUAACUCAGCGAAAGCUGUGCUAAUACCGAAUACGCUGAUUUAUCAGGAAAGGUGGCCUCUGAUUUAAGCUACCGUGCCGGGAGGAGCUUGCGUACCAUUAGCUAGUUGGUAGGGUAAAGGCCUACCAAGGCGACGAUGGUUAGCGGGUCGGAGAGGAUGAUCCGCCACACUGGAACUGGAACACGGACCAGACUCCUACGGGAGGCAGCAGUGAGGAAUAUUGCGCAAUGGGGGCAACCCUGACGCAGCGACGCCGCGUGGAUGAUGAAGGCUUUCGAGUCGUAAAAUCCUGUCAGAUGGAAAGAAGUGCAUAUUUAUUAAUACUGAAUAUGUUUGACGGUACCAUCAAAGGAAGCACCGGCUAACUCCGUGCCAGCAGCCGCGGUAAUACGGAG